rnacentral:rRNA from 1 species
GUGUCGGUCUACCGAUUGCGGUACGACGGGCACGUCUGCGGGGCUUCUCGCCGGUGCGUCCACCGCCGGCGUGCGUCGGUCGGCCUCGCGGUCGGCCGCGCACCGAGGCGGACCGUCGCGGCUGUUUACUUUGAACAAAUUAGAGUGCUCAAAGCGGGCUAACACUCGCCUGAAUAUUGUACGCAUGGAAUAAUAGAAUAGGACCUCGGUUCUGUUWUGUUGGCUUUCUGAUACCAGAGGUAAUGAUUAAUAGGGACAACUGGGGGCAUUCGUAUUGCGACGUUAGAGGUGAAAUUCUUGGAUCGUCGCAAGACGGACUAAAGCGAAAGCAUUUGCCAAAGGUGUUUUCAUUAAUCAAGAACGAAAGUUAGAGGUUCGAAGGCGAUUAGAUACCGCUGUAGUUCUAACCAUAAAUGAUGCCAGCCAGCGAUCCGCCGAAGUUUCAUAAUUUUAACCCGGUGGGCAGCUCCCGGGAAACCAAAGCUUUC